GGAAAGGUCAGCUGCAUUCGUAGCUCGAGUCACUGGGGAUCCUCUUGAGUCGACAUGUCGGCAGGCCCCCGUGGCCUAGUCAUGGUCAUAGACUGUUUCCUGAAGUUUGAUCCUGGCUCAGGACGAACGCUGGCGGCGUGCUUAACACAUGCAAGUCGAGCGGUAAGGCCCCUUCGGGGGUACACGAGCGGCGAACGGGUGAGUAACACGUGAGCAAUCUGCCCAUCACAUCGGGAUAACUCCGGGAAACCGAAGCUAAUACCGAAUACGACCACUUCAGGCAUCUGACGGUGGUGGAAAGUUCCGGCGGUGAUGGAUGAGCUCGCGGCCUAUCAGCUUGUUGGUGGGGUAACGGCCCACCAAGGCUUCGACGGGUAGCCGGCCUGAGAGGGUGACCGGCCACACUGGGACUGAGACACGGCCCAGACUCCUACGGGAGGCAGCAGUGGGGAAUAUUGGACAAUGGGCGAAAGCCUGAUCCAGCAACGCCGCGUGAGGGAUGACGGCCUUCGGGUUGUAAACCUCUUUCAGCAGGGACGAAGCGCAAGUGACGGUACCUGCAGAGGAAGCACCGGCCAACUACGUGCCAGCAGCCGCGGUAAUACGUAGGGUGCAAGCGUUGUCCGGAAUUAUUGGGCGUAAAGGGCUCGUAGGCGGUCUGUCGCGUCGGGAGUGAAAACUCAGGGCUUAACCCUGAGCCUGCUUCCGAUACGGGCAGACUAGAGGUAUGCAGGGGAGAAUGGAAUUCCUGGUGUAGCGGUGAAAUGCGCAGAUAUCAGGAGGAACACCGGUGGCGAAGGCGGUUCUCUGGGCAUUACCUGACGCUGAGGAGCGAAAGUGUGGGGAGCGAACAGGAUUAGAUACCCUGGUAGUCCACACCGUAAACGUUGGGCGCUAGGUGUGGGGCUCAUUCCACGAGUUCCGUGCCGCAGCUAACGCAUUAAGCGCCCCGCCUGGGGAGUACGGCCGCAAGGCUAAAACUCAAAGGAAUUGACGGGGGCCCGCACAAGCGGCGGAGCAUGCGGAUUAAUUCGAUGCAACGCGAAGAACCUUACCUGGGUUUGACAUAUACCAAGAAGCCUCUAGAAAAUAGAGGUCUCUUUUGGACACUCGUAUACCGGGGGGUGCAUGGGCUGUCCUCAGCUCCUGGCCUGGAAAUGUUGGGGUUAAGUCCCCGCAACGAAGCGCAACCCUUCGUCCUUAUGUUGCCCGCACCGUAAUUGGGGGGGGACUCCUAAAAGAACUGCCCGGGGUCCACCUCCGAAAGAGAGGUGGGGGAAUGACUUCAAAGUCAUCCAUGGCCUCUUAAUUGUCAGGGGGUUUCCCGCAUGGUAACAAAUGGGCCGGGGAACAAAGGGGGUCGCAAAUUUCCCAAGAAUGGAGGGGGGAAACCCACAAAAAAGCCGGGCUUCCUAUUUUCCAAAAGUGGG
rnacentral:rRNA from 1 species